UUAGUGAAAAAAUUAGAACUUAACAGACUUUGACAUUAAGAUCUAUCCACCAACCGGCACUACAGUUAAGGAGAGAAAAGCCCCUUAGUUCUGUUCUGUGUUUGUUAAUUAGCAUUCUUGUUUUCCUUUUCUUUCUUUUCUUUUGCAGUCACUCAAAAUAUAUCCUUUUUCUCCAGCUCCCCAAAGAUUCUCAUCUUCUGUCCCUUACUUUUAGGUGGGUUCUUAAUCUUUUUCUCUUUUAAUUCCAUGCAUGUAUUAUCUUAUUAUUUGAUCUUGUUAUGUGAUCUGUACAUGAUGGAAAUAAAUGGGUUAAAAUAAAGCAAAAUGGGUGUGGGAGAUUUAUGUAGUUGACCCCAAUUAGUAUAGUUUGAGAUUAAAGGGUAGUUGUUGCUGUUGUUAUUGUGUGAUCUGUGGUUGGAUCUGUUUAUGUUCUUCUUUUAAUCCAAUUUUAGGUGUGUAAUUGAUUGGUAACUAACUAUAGUAUGUAUUUCUUGUGAUAAAGUUUCCAUCUUCGUAUAAUUUCAUGCUUCUGUUGGUUCCUAGUAAAGCUGUCAAGAAGAGAAAUUGAUCUGGG
rnacentral:lncRNA from 1 species